rnacentral:siRNA from 1 species
UGGUCUCGUAAUAUACAAUCA